rnacentral:rRNA from 1 species
UACGUAGGGUGCGAGCGUUAAUCGGAAUUACUGGGCGUAAUGCGUGCGCAGGCGGUUUGGUAAGACAGAUGUGAAAUCCCCGGGCUUAACCUGGGAAUUGCAUUUGUGACUGCCCGGCUAGAGUGUGUCAGAGGGGGGUAGAAUUCCACGUGUAGCAGUGAAAUGCGUAGAUAUGUGGAGGAAUACCGAUGGCGAAGGCAGCCCCCUGGGAUAACACUGACGCUCAUGCACGAAAGCGUGGGGAGCAAACAGG